AAUAAACCAAUUUUCAUUUUUUACCUUUAAUUUUUGAUUAUUUGUUUUAUUCAAAAAUUUUUUGUGAUUGAUAUUUUUACUUUUAUUAGAUGAUAAAUUAUAAAUAGUAUUUUAUGUAUGACUAAUUUUUUUCUAAUUUUCUAAAAAAAUUUUAAAUAAGACGGAUGGUUAAAUGUUGGAUACGGAAAACGAAGAAUUCGUUUUUU
rnacentral:pre_miRNA from 1 species